GGUUAAGCGAUUAAGCGUACACGGUGGAUGCCCUGGCAGUCAGAGGCGAUGAAGGGCGUGCUAAUCUGCGAUAAGCGCCGGUAAGGUGAUAUGAACCGUUAUAACCGGCGAUACCCGAAUGGGGAAACCCAGUGUGACUCGUCACACUAUCAUUAACUGAAUCCAUAGGUUAAUGAGGCGAACCGGGGGAACUGAAACAUCUAAGUACCCCGAGGAAAAGAAAUCAACCGAGAUUCCCCCAGUAGCGGCGAGCGAACGGGGAGGAGCCCAGAGCCUGAAUCAGCAUGUGUGUUAGUGGAAG
rnacentral:rRNA from 1 species